rnacentral:lncRNA from 1 species
UCUUUCCACACACCUGCUGCCACCACUAACCUACUUGUCCCGAGGACACUACUUCCUUCCUGAUUCUGGGCUGUGUGGACUUUUCCAGUGAGGAUUGAGGCUUCAUCGACCAAUCAGAACAGCCUGCUUUCAGGCUUCCAUUGGAUCAUACAAGGACAUGUUGCAACUAAAAAGCUCCUGUUGUAACAGAAAAAAGACACAAAGGAAACCCACAACUCCACUUCUCAGUACCAGCCCAGCAAUGGAGAAACGGAUGGCCAGUUGGCCAGUCGGCUCAACUAUUAUACUAG